CAAACUUGUUUCAGUCCCAGUCCUCCUUUUGCAGAUGCAAUGCACAAGAACUCAAAUAUUGGGAAUCAUUUGGUGGUAAAGAAAAAAUAUUGAUAUCUCUUUCAUCACUUCCUCACAUUGGUUGGCCACAACAGCGGGAGGCUCAGUGCGAAUUUGUGCUGCCUUCGUUCAUCACUUGCUCGGAAAAGCAUGAAAAACUGGAGCACACAGCACACUUGCUAUGAUCCCAGCUGAAACUUCACAUAUUAGAUGAUAUUACUAGCUUGAGAUAACUAACGGUUAUAGAAUAUAAAACCCCAGAGAAAAAAAUUAAACAUUUCAAACGAGGCCAAUGUUUAACACCAAAAA